CAAAAACUUCUGUACGCUCCUUCUUCUUCUUCCACACGGAAAAAAAAAAAAUCCUAUCUUUUUCAAGUUCUCUGUUUUUAUAGUGAGGAUCGCCGAUGGUCCCUUUGAUAUUGAAGUAAGCCGAUGAUCUCAAUAACUUCAUUCUUCAUCUCAAUAUCUAUUCGUUAGAUUUGAUCGGAGGAAAGCAUCUGAUUUCGUGAUUGAUCUCCAUAAUCUGUCUCACGCAUCUCUUCUUUCAUGAGAAAUCAAAAAAUCUCCACGCUCCUCCUUCUUCCAAACAGAAAAAACCCUAACUUUUCCAAAUUCUAUGUUCUUAUAGAGAGGAUCGCCGAUGGUCCUUUCCGAUAUUGAGAGGGACCGUGAAAGCGACGGACGAGCAUCAGUUGACGAUGUAGAAGAUGCAGAAAAAACUCAUCGAGUUUCUUCGUCGACAAACGGGAGCAGAGAACGGCUGACGACUCGCAUUAAUGGGCCUUGUCAAUGGGCUUUACUGUGAGGUUGAAGAAGAUCCAAUACUCAUCGAGUUUCUUCGUCGACUAACGGGGCAGAGAACGGCUCAAGGCUUAAGGUUAAUUCUCAGCCCAUUUUCUUGUUUACUUAAAUUCAUAUAUUUUAUAAUUUUAAUUAAUGGAGUUUUUUCCUACGGAUAUUUAAAGUUUUUUUGCAAUUUUUAUUCAAGUUUUUGUUUAAAGUUAAUUUUUAAUAUUUUUAGAUAAAAAAUUAUAUUAAAUAUAUAUAAUAUUUUUAAGAAAAAAUGUUAAUUUUUAAUAUGUGUAAAAUGAUUGGACACAACAUCUCGUCCAUAGUAUGAGGUCCUUUAGCGGUGUCCUAGGUUCAAUAUAUCUUACACAUAUUAAAUUCUAACAUUUUAAUAUAAAAAAUAUUUUAAUUUUGAUUUUUACACCACUAUUUAAAAUUUAAGAAUUUUAUUUUACUUUUUAUGUAAUAUUUUAGAAAAAAUGUUUUAACUUUUUAAAUACACAUAAUAUUUUUGUUUUUAAAGGUUAAAGUUUAAUAUAUGUAAAAUAAUUGGACACAACAUCCUGUACAUAAUAUGAGGUCUUUAAGCAGUGUCAUAGGUUCAAUAUAUUUUGCACAUAUUAAAUUCUCACAUUUUUAUAAGUGUUAUUUUUUUAAUUUUGUGUAAACUAAUUGGACAUAACAUCCAAACCCUAAGAAGUGUUCUAAGUUAUACAUGCGUAAUAUAAAUUCUUAUUUUUUCUCGUUUAAACAAUGUUUUUAAACUUAGUUUAUACUCUUAAGUACUUUGCUUACAUGAAAGUUAUGGAAGAAAGAAUAUUAUUCGCUAGGAUAUGGAAACAUCAAGCGGUUGACUUAGUUUUUUUUUCAGUUUCGACUGUAACAAAAGUACCCGCAGAUGCACCCAUUUAUCACUUUUUAGGCUUGUGUACUAUUU